rnacentral:rRNA from 1 species
AGAGUUUGAUCCUGGCUCAGGAUGAACGCUGGCGGCGUGCCUAAUACAUGCAAGUCGAGCGGUAAGGCCACUUCGGUGGUACACGAGCGGCGGACGGCUGAGUAACACGUAGGAACAUACCCCAAACUGAGGGAUAAGCACCAGAAAUGGUGUCUAAUACCGCAUGUGGUCCAAGGACUAAAGCUACGGCGGUUUGGGAA